UACGGGGGGGGCAAGCGUUGUUCGGAAUUACUGGGCGUAAAGGGCUCGUAGGCGGCCAACUAAGUCGAACGUGAAAUCCCUCAGCUUAACUGGGGAACUGCGUCCGAUACUGAUUGGCUUGAAUCCGGAAGAGGGAUGCGGAAUUCCAGGUGUAGCGGUGAAAUGCGUAGAUAUCUGCAGGAACACCGGUGGCGAAGGCGGCAUCCUGGGUCGGUAUUGACGCUGAGGAGCGAAAGCCAGGGGAGCGAACGGG
rnacentral:rRNA from 1 species